UCCUCUAUUGAAUACUAAGUUUGCUAAGAUAGUAGGUCUUAAGUGUUCUCAUCACACAUACGCAAAGGUAACAACAUGAGGGGAUGGAUUGUUAAUUAGCUUGACUGUGGUAAUCAUUUCACAAUGAGUAUGUAUAUCAAAACCCCAUGUUGUACACCUUAAAUAUAUACAAUUUUUAUUUGUCAAUUAGUGUUUAGAGCUUUACCUCUAGCAUUUAGGAAAUAAACAUUAUAUAUACUUAUUUAUAAAAUGUUAAAUUAAUAAAGAUAUACACACAUGCUUUACUAAGACUAAGAAAAAUUAAAACAUCUUGACUAUAAAGAACACAAAUGCCAUGUUCUCUCAAAAUAUCUUUCUAACAGUUACAGUGCACCUUUAUACUAGUGUCCCAUUGUUUUCAGGAACCAAAUAAAGUUUUUUUUUCCCCCUAGGAUUUUGCACAAUUUUUAAUAGAGUAGAAAUUAGAGGUAAGAUUCAUUUUCAGAAAAGUGAAUAUUGCUUUGCAAUGAGCAGACGCCCCAAGAAAUCUUGCUCCUAUGGAUUUCAGACAAACAUCAAUGCUGGGAGUUCUAUAAAUAGAAAAGCCAAGGUAGAAUUUUUAGCACAAAGAAAAUAGUUGCUCAAGAAAUCCCUCAUAUGUGGUAAUUAUUCAAAAAUUUUAAGAUGGUUUAAAAUAGCCAUGUUCUUGGGAGGAAAAAGCGUGAUUCAAGAUAAACAAUCUGAAAUCUUUAUUUGUACCUGCAAAGUUAGAGAAUUUAGAAUUAUUCGAGGGGAAGCUUCUGCUUCCUUGUUUGUUUCUUCAAAUUUGUCUUUAAAGUGAUGCAGCUUCUACACUGCUGAAUCACUUUAAAUUCCAUUUUGUAGAUGAUGCCAGGGUCAAGUACAAGGAGACCAGAUUCCAGAUAGAGUGACCAGCAGAGGAGGAAAGGUCAAGCAGACCACAGGGGUGGUCCAGACAUCCCAACCCACACAUCUGGUAGAAUGGAGGGCAUCCUUCCAUUCGUUCAUGCAUUCAUUCAUUCCCAGUCACCACUGAGUACCCAACCAGAGACACUGCUAGGCACUAGGUAAACACGGCUAGGUACAAAGACCACCAGCUAGAGAGUCAUAGAGCUUAAAGCCUAGUGAGGCCAGUCAAGCAAUAAAGAAGUCAAAGGACAACUGCAAAUUAAAACCAUAAGCAGUUCAGACCAUAAGAAGGAUUCUACUCAUGAGAUGAUGCAGAGAGACUUUGAAACUGACGGCACUAAUGGCUUGAACCUAGCCGGAACACAGAUUGGGAUUUGAACCCACAUGCUGGGACUUGAACCCAGCCAAAACCCUGAUUGGGACUUCAACCCACAGUUUUAAAUUCGAGUUACUCACCCUGUGUCUGGACUCAGCAAGGUUCAGGUUCUUUAUGCCUCCGUGCAGAAGGAAUUCAGCGAGAGAAAAAGUGAUAUGCAGGAAACAGAUUAAUUAGGAUAGGUCACUUGUAAGAGCUGCAAGCGGGCGGGAAAAGAAGCUCUGCCUGAAGAUCCAGUGAGCCACAGUUUUAUCAUCCAAGGGGAGUGGGGGGUGAAAGGCCCGCCUCUUCCUUUGCGGGAGUAGUAGCUCCUCCUUAGUAUCCGGUGUGGUGUAUAUUCAAACCAGCUGAAGGGCGGUCUUCAAACUCUUGCCCUUGGUCUGAAUCUGAGUGCAGGCCUCAACCCAUCCCCCACCCAAUGACCUGAAGCAAUUCUCGAACCUCCACUAGUUAAGCGAGCCUGCCUUGUUCUGAUGGUUUUCUUGAACUUACAGUGGUCUCCCAUCAUCCCCCAGGUUUCCCUCUUUAUGUAUGAUCCCCUAUUGGGACUUCUACAGCCACCUGUGCCUACUCUCUCCCUAUCAGUUUGAUGGAGGGUAGUGUGGUUGGAAGACAUUUUGCCGAGAAAGUUAACUUGUUGCCAGAAAAUAAGAGUAGUCAGUCAUACUGGUGGUGAUGGUUGGGAGUAUUCCAGGCAGAGAGAGGCAAAAAGACUUGAGUUGGAGAUGAGCUUGGUGUUCGAGAAACUGAUAGAAGCUGGUGGGCUGGGACACAGAGUCUGAGGGCGUAAGGCCAAGAUGAGGUCAGAGAGGCAGGGGAGAGACAGAUGGUAUAAGAUUUAAGUUAUGUAAGGGAUUUUGUUUUUUUUGUUGUUGUUGUUGUUCAUAAAGUGAAAUGAGAAGUUACUGAAGGUUUUAAAUAAGAGGGAACUAUGAUUCCACUUAUAUUUUCAAAAGAUUAUUGAGGCUAUUUUGCUGAGAACAGAAAGAGGGGAAGAGUGGAUGAGGAAGACCUGUGGAGACCUGUUGCCAUCAUCAAGCUCUACAGGAGGAAGGAGGUGGUCGGGGCCAGGGGGUGGCAAUGAGGCCAGAGAGAAAUGGAUAGACAGGAGCUGUGUGUCAAAGGUGGAAGCAAUGAGACUAGGUAAGAGAUUCAAGAGGGAGGGUAAUAGAAAGGAAAGAAUAAAGGAUGCUACUUAGGUUUCCGAUUUGAUGGUGACACUACUUUUGCCAAAGUGGGGCAAAGUAGGUAAGAAAUGGGCAGAAGAUUUUGAUGUGAGAUUAAACAUCACUGUGUUUUUUUAAAUGUACGUAUUUCUUUUAGAAAGCAGAAUAGGCAUAAUAUAGACAGAAUUCCUGCAGAACUCCUCUUUCUCAUGCUCUCUUUCUCUCUCUCCAAAAUGAACCUGUGAAAAACUACAGAUUUAGAACACUUUAAAAUGUGGUUUUCAUUUGGUAGCAGGUGCCAAAUGCAGCCAUAAUCCCCAGCAUAACUUUCUCAGUUCACAGUACCCUUGGUGAAAUAUUUUUAUGGCAACAAGGCCCAAAGAAUUAACUAAUAGUUUUUUAAAUGGUUUAGCCUAAACAAAUUAAUAAGCAUUUUGUUCCAGCAACUUAGUAGCCAUUUAAAUACACACACACACACACACACACACUCAAACACACACAGAAACACACAAAUAUGUAUACAUAAACUGGAAGAAAAACUUUAUUCUAUUUCAUCCUUAAAUAACCACAGUUAUAUAUCAAAGGAUUGGAUGUAUCUGCCUCUUGGGCUCUACACUGCUUCUCAAAACCUUAGAAUCAGAUUGCACCUUGUCACCUUAAUUUCCUCAUGUAUAUUGACUUCUGCAUAUGACUUGGUUUCUAUCACAGCAACUACAGAAAACUCAGUUUCUCAGAUAUGACAUCCUUAAAACAAAUGUAGUACAAUUUAAUGUUGAAAAUGUGAAUGUCCUUACAUUAAUAAUUUGCCUCGGUCUGACAGAUAUUAAGUUUUGCUGUGUUGUCCUUGAAAUUUAAAAUAUCCUGCUGUGACCUUUUGAGUUCCCUGAGGUAUCCUGGGGCCCUUUAGCAAAUAGUGUGGGAAAUAUGGCUUUCAUGGGUUGCAAGGUAAACUUCAACCCGUGUUCUCAGAUCAAACCACCUUCAUGGAAGGCAUUAGCACAAUCUAGAUCUUUCCUCGGAUUGUUAUUUCAAAAGUCAUGUAAAUAAAUGCAUUAUUUCAUCAGUAUUUCUCAGAGUUUUAUGCAAAUGAAGCUUUUUCAAAACUGACUUUUACUCAUAUGUAUGCUGAAACUUAAAAAAGAAAAAAGUUAACUAAUCUAUUUGGAAGCUUUCUAAAAUACUCCCCUAAACUAUAUCUGAAAUACUUUCUAAAAUACUCCUCUGCUCUCUUAAAGAGAGACUGUAAAUAUAAAUUAAGCUACUUUGACUCAAUGUUACCAACAGAGACUCCUCUCCCCACCUUUGUCUUUGUCAUUGUCUCUCCCUGGAACUCUCUCUCCCCUUCAGUCACACGCAGAAGAUCCACAGGCUGCCUUGUGUAUCACCCCAUCUUCCAAGGAAGAGUCUGUUCACCAACACAGUAUGUCUUGGCCUGAAAAGGUACAUAUUGGGUUUACUGAAGAAGGAAAUGAUAAGUUAGGACCAAUGAGGCCACACAAUGGCUGAAAUAAUAAAACACUAGUUAUAGAGCAGGGAUUUGAGAUAGCUAUCUUGUUAUCUGAGAAAGUUUUAACUCUUUUCAUGUUGGGAGUGUAUUCUGAAGAUCUGAUAUCACCUAUAUGUGAACUAUGAGAAAUAAGGCCUUUCCUUAUAUUUAUAAGAUGAUGUUAAAUUGGCACAGUGAGGGCUCAUGAUGAAGAGUCCCCAGUGAGAAAGACAAAGGUGGGGAGAGGAGUCUCCCAUGAGCUCUUGGUCCAUUACAUUGUUCAUUUGUUUAUGCUCUCAAAUUUUAUUUGAAGGUAGAGUUCCAGAAGCUCCUACCUCCAAAAUGUGAAUCACUUCCAUGAAAUGACAAUGGGGUAGAAUCACAUUUUCAGUAAUAUGCAGUGGAUUCAAAAAUUUAAACCAAUACAGGGGCUGUGUGGAGUGGUUCUGUGCCUCCAAGAAGGCAGACCUUCACAGUACACAGCCAUUCUCUGGGUGGCCUUUCUGCACGUACCAUGUAACUGGUGCAUGUAGAAGAGAUCUGAUAGCACUGACCAUUCCCAUAUUAACAUGGCUAUUGGGGAUAGCAGCUCACAUCACUACUUUAAUUGGAUGCCUAAGAAUGGUUAACUUAGAGCAAGAACACAAGCCAUGUUCUUGGAUAAUGUCACAAUGAGUUGUCUCUACUGUAUUUUAAAAUCCUCCUGUGGAGUUCCCUGGUGGCUCAGAGAGUUAAGGAUAUGGCAUUGUCACUGCUGUAGCAUGGGUUUGAUCUCUGGCCUGGGAAAUUCCACAUGCUUUGGAGGCAGCCAAGAAGAAGAGGAGGAGGAAGAAGAAAAAUAUAAAAUAAAAUCCACCUGUAAUUGUUAAUUUCAUAUAUCAACUUGGCAAGGAUAUGGCACAUAGUUGUUUGGUCAAACACCAGUUUAGGUGUUGUCGUGAAGGUAUUUUUAGGUGCGAUUACAUUUAAAUCAGUAGGCUUUGAAUAAAGUAGAUUGCCCUCCAUAACAUGGAUGGACUUUAUCCAAUCAGCUGAAGGCCUUAGAGAAAAGACUGAGGUUCCCAAAAGAGAAAAUAAUUCUGCCUUAGUCUACCUUUGGAUGUGAUAAUGCAAUGUUGACUAUUUCCUGGGUCAACAGCCUGCCAACCUGCCUUGCAGAUUUUGGACUUAUCCAGCCCCAAAAUCUCAUGAGUCAAUUCCUUAAAAUAGACAUAAAAUAGAUGAUAGAUGAUAGAUAGAUGAUAGAUAGAUAGAUAGAUAAAGAGAUAUAUUUCCUCUUGGUUCUGUUUCUCCAAAGGCCCCUGACUAAUACACCACCAAGCUGCCAUUAGUAGCUAGCUUCUCCCUCUGGUUCAGUCAGGAUUUUCCUUUCCAAAUAUAGAAGUGAAAGGACCACAAGUCUUUAAAAUUUGACCUUUAGCCAUCCUCCCUCCUGGGUUAAUUCUAUUCCAAAAUAGCAUGGUAUUUAUUUAAAGUAAAUCAAAUCAAAUUGGAACAGUAAUACUGCACCCACAGUGCCCUCUAGGAUAUGUAAGUUUAUUAAUCCAUCCUAAGACAAAGAGAGAAGCUCUUCCAGUUUCCACUAAUAAUGCCACUCCCAUCAUAUCUCAUGUGUGAUGAUUAAGUUAAAACAAGGCCUUUAGACUGGGCCCUAAUCCAAUAGGACUGGUGUCUUUGUAAGAAGAGGAAAUCUGGACACAGAGAAACAUUAGAUGUUGAUGCACCCAGAGGCUAGACUGUGCAUGAACUCAUGAGAAGGAAUAGUCUGUAAGCCAAGGAGAGUGGCCUCAGGAGAAACCAAACCUGCCAACACCUUGCCCUCAGACUUCCAGUCUCCAGAACAGUAAGAAAAUAAGUUUCUGUUGUUUAAGGUACCCAAUCUAUAGUAUUUUGUUAGGGCAGCCCUAGCAAACUAAUACAGUAGGACAUCAAAAGUCCUGUUUAAAACUCUCCUUCCAUAAAGCAAAAAAUACACCCUCUUGCUGCUGCUUUUUUUUUUUUUCCUACAAAAGUUAUGGUAUUUUUCUGUUAGAGUCCUGACAGUCUUUUUAGAUGGUAGACUAUGGAGUCAGGUAAAUAUGGUCUUUUCAUUCUUUGAUUAUAUUUCUUUAGAAUAAUGAGGGAGGAGUUCCCGUUGUGGCUCCAUGGGCUAAG
rnacentral:lncRNA from 1 species